UGAGACACGGUCCAGACUCCUACGGGAGGCAGCAGUGGGGAAUAUUGGACAAUGGGCGAAAGCCUGAUCCAGCCAUGCCGCGUGUGUGAAGAAGGUCUUCGGAUUGUAAAGCACUUUAAGUUGGGAGGAAGGGCAUUAACCUAAUACGUUAGUGUUUUGACGUUACCGACAGAAUAAGCACCGGCUAACUCUGUGCCAGCAGCCGCGGUAAUACAGAGGGUGCAAGCGUUAAUCGGAAUUACUGGGCGUAAAGCGCGCGUAGGUGGUUUGUUAAGUUGAAUGUGAAAGCCCCGGGCUCAACCUGGGAACUGCAUUCGAAACUGGCAGGCUAGAGUCUUGUAGAGGGGGGUAGAAUUCCAGGUGUAGCGGUGAAAUGCGUAGAGAUCUGGAGGAAUACCGGUGGCGAAGGCGGCCCCCUGGACAAAGACUGACGCUCAGGUGCGAAAGCGUGGGGAGCAAACAGGAUUAGAUACCCUGGUAGUCCACGCCGUAAACGAUGUCGACUUGGAGGUUGUGCCCUUGAGGCGUGGCUUCCGGAGCUAACGCGUUAAGUCGACCGCCUGGGGAGUACGGCCGCAAGGUUAAAACUCAA
rnacentral:rRNA from 1 species